rnacentral:rRNA from 1 species
CGGGACGGGUGAGUAAUGUCUGGGAAACUGCCCGAUGGAGGGGGAUAACUACUGGAAACGGUAGCUAAUACCGCAUAACGUCGCAAGACCAAAGAGGGGGACCUUCGGGCCUCUUGCCAUCGGAUGUGCCCAGAUGGGAUUAGCUAGUAGGUGGGGUAAUGGCUCACCUAGGCGACGAUCCCUAGCUGGUCUGAGAGGAUGACCAGCCACACUGGAACUGAGACACGGUCCAG